rnacentral:rRNA from 1 species
CAGCCGCCGCGGUAAUACGAAGGGUGCAAGCGCUAAUCGGAAUUACUGGGCGUAAAGCGUGCGUAGGCGGUUUGUUAAGUCUGUUGUGAAAUCCCCGGGCUCAACCUGGGAAUGGCAAUGGAUACUGGCAAGCUAGAGUGUGUCAGAGGAUGGUGGAAUUCCCGGUGUAGCGGUGAAAUGCGUAGAGAUCGGGAGGAACAUCAGUGGCGAAGGCGGCCAUCUGGGACAACACUGACGCUGAGGCACGAAAGCGUGGGGAGCAAACAGGAUUAGAUACCCCAGUAGUCCCUGUCUCUUAUAC